ACGCUCGACACCUACUGGAGGCAGCAGUCGGGAAUAUUGCGCAAUGGAGGAAACUCUGACGCAGUGACGCCGCGUAUGGGAAGAAGGUUUUCGGAUUGUAAACCAUUUUAGACAAGGAAGAAACAAGACAGUACUUGUAGAAUAAGCUCCGGCUAACUACGUGCCAGCAGCAGCGGUAAUCUGAGGCGGCUGGCGAAGGC
rnacentral:rRNA from 1 species